UCAAAGGUGCUUUUUACUCCAAAUAGCAUCUCAUUUGUUUCAAAUUGAUCCCAGCCCCUAUUCCGAGAGCCAUUGAAUAUAUUCUCUAAUUCAGGGCAUUGUGGGUCAUCUUCAUCAGGUACCCAACGUUCCAGCUCUCUCUCCACUUCAGUGUGACGAGAUUGUGAUAUAAAGGAGUCUAUCAUAAGCUCCUGCUGCUUUUCACACUGGAGCUCAUGGUUCAUCCUAUCCAUGGUUAUAGACACAUCCUUUGCUAUCACUUGUACAA
rnacentral:misc_RNA from 1 species